rnacentral:rRNA from 1 species
GACGAACGCUGGCGGCGUGCUUAACACAUGCAAGUCGAACGGAAAGGCCCUGCUUUUGUUGGGUGCUCGAGUGGCGAACGGGUGAGUAACACGUGAGUAACCUGCCCUUGACUUUGGGAUAACUUCAGGAAACUGGGGCUAAUACCGGAUAGGAGCUCCUGCUGCAUGGUGGGGGUUGGAAAGUUUCGGCGGUUGGGGAUGGACUCGCGGCUUAUCAGCUUGUUGGUGGGGUAGUGGCUUACCAAGGCUUUGACGGGUAGCCGGCCUGAGAGGGUGACCGGCCACAUUGGGACUGAGAUACGGCCCAGACUCCUACGGGAGGCAGCAGUGGGGAAUAUUGCGCAAUGGGCGGAAGCCUGAUGCAGCAACGCCGCGUGCGGGAUGACGGCCUUCGGGUUGUAAACCGCUUUCGCCUGUGACGAAGCGUGAGUGACGGUAAUGGGUAAAGAAGCACCGGCUAACUACGUG